AUGACCUGGGAGCACUACUUGGCUGCCCCGGCCCCGCCGGGGGAGAGGAUCGGCGGUGUCGAGUGCCACACGGUGGCCGACGUUGUGAUCCAGACGGUUUGGACCUUUUAUAGGUGUGCUGAGGGACAGGAGGAGGCCGCGACUCGGGUUAUCGAAGCCGAGUGCAGGCGGCUACUUCAAAACUGGCGGAACGGGGCUCGGACGCAGGCUACUCGAGACUACUUCGCCUCGAUUGGUAUUAGGAUGUCCAAGUCGAAGUGCCGCACAAAGUAUCUGAGUAAGGAGAAGUACAUGAAGGUGCCCCCGAGAUGGUGUGUGGAUAGGCUGGAUUGUUGGGAGGCGUUGGUGGAUGAGUGGUGCUCUCCACAAUGGCUAUCCACCCACAACAAUGCAAAGGAUCGGCAUGGCAAAAUGAGCGGUGUGCCACACCAUCAAGGCAGCGUCAACCUAUAUCAGUACGGGGAUAACUGGGCGCGACACAACAAGACGGAUGUGCCAGAGUUGUUCGACCUCUAUGCCAUGGCCCAUAGUGCCCCGUAUAAGAAGGCCAAGGCAUUCUCUGAGUCUGAUCUUGAUGAUCCAAAGAACUUCACCAACCGCGCCUCCCACAACAAGCUCGUGAGGUAUAGAGACGAGGGGAAGGCGAGGAAAGGGCCGGACUUUAACCCGAGCCAGCCUAUUGAUCCAGAGCUGGUGAUGAUAUCUGGUGGUGGGAGGAACCAUGGCUUGUUAGCCAUUGGGGAUGGACUGAUACGUUGUACUAGCACUCUCCCGCAGAUCAAGAGGCGCCAGACGAGCUCCGAUCCUGAGAUAAGGCCUCGUCCACGGCCAAUGGAUCUCGAAAUCAAGGCUGCUAUUGAGGAAAAGAGAGCAAAGACCUAG
rnacentral:rRNA from 1 species